GCAGAAACAUUAUGAACAAAAUAAGUUAUAAAUAACGCAAAAAAACACAUAAUAGCACAAUUGGUUGGGCGCCAUAAAACUGCUGCCAUUUUAAUCAGGACCAGUGUGGUGGUACAGGCUGGGAAGGCUGAGGGUUAUAUGGACCAGUGUGGUGGUACAGGCUGGGAAGGCUGAGGGUUAUAUGGACCAGUGUGGUGGUACAGGCUGGGAAGGCUGAGGGUUAUAUGGACCAGUGUGGUGGUACAGGCUGGGAAGGCUGAGGGUUAUAUGGACCAGUGUGGUGGUACAGGCUGGGAAGGCUGAGGGUUAUAUGGACCAGUGUGGUAGGUACAGACUGGGAAGGCUGAGGGUUAUAUGGACCAGUGUGGUGGUACAGACUGGGAAGGCUGAGGGUUAUAUGGACCAGUGUGGUGGUACAGGCUGGGAAGGCUGAGGGUUAUAUGGACCAGUGUGGUAGGUACAGGAUGGGAAGGCUGAGGGUUAUAUGGACCAGACAUUUAGUGGGUGCUAGAAUAAAAGCUGUGUACGGUACUCACGCCUGGCAGCAUGACAUGUCCCCGUUGGUUUGACAAUAGCAGUUCAUGCAAUCACUGGUCCUCCAGCGGGACCCAAUAUCAUGCCACGUCCCAUCCUUGUUGUAAAGACACUGCCUCAUACCUAUACAAUACAUGCCUAUUCAAUAUAUCAUAUCAAUGUGUUUGUUGUCUUUUUCAAUGAGAUUCAAGAUUCAAGUGUAUUAAAAACAUCAUUGCAUAACAAUAUGAAAUGUCCUUUACAGGUCAUAAAAUAAAAUACAAAAAUAAAACCCUAAAAUCACAUAAUGAUUUGGAACAAGAGGUUAUUUUAUUAGGUUGAUAAAUGUACAGGAGUGUGUACAGGAGUGUGUGUGUGUGCGUGCGUGCGUGCGUGCAUGUUACAACACCAUUUACUUUUGCCCAGAGCCCUAUGGUUGUGUGUGUGCGCG
rnacentral:lncRNA from 1 species